AGGUUGUCUAUUUGCCAGACUCACCCAAACCUGUGUUAGGAAGAGAUUGAGUGGAAAAGUUGAGGCAGAAAUGAAAUGGAAAACUGGGGAUAAUGAAACUGUAAUUGCUGGAACUAAAUGUGUCCAAGCAGCAGCUCUUGUUGUGCAGGGAAUAACUCCUGUCAGCAGCAAGGUCCCGACUGAAGUGGCAGCUGCAGUUGUUCCUGUCGUGUGGGCCAGUGGAAUUGCAGGAGAGUGGGAGAGGGCAGAACCUGACGUGAAUGCAAGAACCUGCCAAGUAAACCAGUGGCCAAGAUGAUUUAUUAGUGCGGGACCUGAGAGAAGCACCUUGAAUGACAACCUCGAGCAGUUUCCAGUACUGGAUUGCAAAGAUGGCCUUUGCUGCAUCUGCUUGAGCAAGGAAAGCCAAGAAACCUUUGCUUUGGCAGGAGAAAAUCCAGAAAGCGGGAAGGAAGUAAAGAAGCUCCCUGACUCCUCCUGAGCCCCAGACAGCCCAUGAACUGCCUUCCUGGGAAUGGUAGGACAGGGUGGACUCUGGAUUGCUCCCUCUGGAUGUGUGGCUCUCCCCUCAGGAACUCCAGGAACUCCUGGUGCCGCCUGGGCCGAUGGAUUGGACGCCCCAGCCCCUCCGUUCCUGCCCAGCCACUGGGUCCGUGUUCAGUGGUGGCACUGCCAGCCCUGCAGGUGAAGUGGGAAGGGCCUUUCCAGGUCUUGUGGGUCACAUUUAUAGCAGCUGACAUUGCAGAAAAAGGACCUGGGGUUUCUUCUUCUUUAGUUCAGAAAGCUCCUUUUGAUUGGUGAGCAGGACAAAGUGGAUCCUUCAGAGUUCCCAUCCGUGUUUGUGUCUCAGCCUGUGUUAGGAUUCAGGGCUGUAGCUGUUGUUGUCACUGAGGAGUCAAACUCUGCUUUAAAUCAUGAGACACUGGCCUGAUGGCCAAGUGUCAAGAAUAAAGGGGGAAUGAUAUCUGAGUGUUGAGAUGUAACAAGAGCUGAUCCUUUUUGCAGUGGGAUGUGGCCUGGAAAGUGCACAGAGCUGAGCCAAGGGAUUGAAAGGGACCAAGCAAGCGAGGUGAAGAAAGAAGGAAGAAGGGAAGUGAGGAAUGAGCCAAGCAGCACCAAGUUGCUGUGUAAGCAGGGAAUAACUCCUGUCAGCAGCAAGGUCCCGACUGAAGUGGCAGCUGCAGUUGUUCCUGUGGUGUGGGCCAGUGGAAUUGCAGGAGAGUGGAAGAGGGCAGAACCUGUAGGUAUUACCCCUAAUGAGGGAUCUCUCCUGGUAAGGCAAACCCAGUAUCCUUUAAAAUCAGAAUGCCAGACUGGAUUGGUUGCAGUAACAGCUAAAUUGGCUCAUCCUGGUUUGCUUGUAGGAUGUGAAUGCACGAACCUGCCAAGAAAACCAAUGUCCAAGGUGAUUGAUUAGUGCAGGACCUGAGAGAACCACCUUGAAUGACAACCUUAGGUUUAAAAGAUGGCUGUUGCUUUUGAAGGAGAAAAUCUGGAAAGCAGGAAGGAAGAAAAGAAGCCACCUGACUCCUCCCUGAGCCCCAGACAGCCCAUGAACUGCCUUGCUGGGAAUGGUGGGACGGGAUGGACUCUGGAUUGCUCCCUCUGGAUGUGUGUGGGAUGUAGCUUGGAAACUGCACAGAGCUGAGCGAAGGGAUUGAAAGGGACCAAGCAAUGGAGGUGAAGAAAGAAGGGAAGUGAGGCAGCAGGCAAGCAGCAGCAAGUUGCUGUGUAAGCAGGUGAGUUGUGUUGAGGUUCCUAAGGCAGGCACUGAGGACUUUGAGGGCUCCAGACAGAGCAGACCUGGGAAGGCCCUUGGUGAAGCCCCUUGGAAACCUUCUAAGAGUAGGUGUGUAUGGUAAUAAGUGUUGGAGAAUGUCCUGACUGUGGAACAGGAAUGCAGGGAAGGAAAAUGAAUCCUCCUGUAUUGCUGCCAUAUCAGCUGCAGUGGAGAUACCUGUGUGUGCAAUUUGGGAGCUGAUUGCCAGGGCACCAGUGGGGCUGGGAUCAUGGCAGGGUGUUGUAAGCAAGGAAUGACUGGCUUCUAAAACUCACCAGCUGAGUCUUAGAGGCUUUUUUGAAGAGCUGAAUUCAGGCAGGAAAAUUGGCCCCCAGGAGGGACUCUGUGCCUGCUCUCCCGUGGCUCCAAGGGAUCUCUGGCCCUUCACGCCGGCACCGAGAUUUUCUCGGGAAGGGCCUCAGAUCCCCGGACCAGUCUGGGACACAGGCAAGAUCCCCCUGCCUUUAGAAAUGAGGCCUUCUUGUGGCUUCCUCCCCGUACCCAUUGGUGGGUUCCAAAGAAGGCCUCUUGAAAUGGCUUUUGGGCUGUCCAUGGCAAGCUUGAGACCAAAUUGGCCCCCUGGAGGGACAGUGCUGUUGGUGCCCCCCGGGUUGGGGCACCCCGAGGACUCCAGCGCGCACCGAAAGGAUUAUUCGGGGAGAUCCUCGGGGUGCCCGGCCCUGGGGAGCUCAAAGCAAGGUCCCUGCAAUGGAUUCAGGCAUUCCUGAGAGUAUCCCAGGGGUACCUGUCCCUGCUGGACAUGGAGCUCUCUAAUGGACUGUAAUUUUGUUCUAAAAGUGGUGCUCCAAGUGCCAAAGCAGUGUGGGAUUGGGAUUAAGAAAUGAGCAGUGAUGGUCCAAUUGGCUGUUUUCUCUGGAAUGUAAUGGUAAGAGCUGCAGGAGUGCCAGGUGUGUGUUCCAGUCCCCAGCAUUUGGUUUGCACAUGUCCUGGUCAGACACAGGUCCAACUUCCUCAGUCCUUAACCUAGUAGAGGGAGAAUUAAGGACUGGCAGUGUUAAGGUGAUUGGUGUGACAGAGGUUAAACUGGGAAAACAUUGGGGAAUUCCUCAGUUUGUCUAUUGCCCAAACUCACCCAAACUUGUGCUAGGAAGAGAUGGACUGGAAAAGUUGAGGCAGAAAUGAAAUGGAAAACUGGGGCUAUUGAAACUGUAAUUGCUGGAACUAAAUGUGUCCAAGCAGCAGCUCUUGUUGUGCAGGGAAUAACUCCUGUCAGCAGCAAGGUCCCGACUGAAGUGGCAGCUGCAGUUGUUCCUGUGGUGUGGGCCAGUGGAACUGCAGGAGAGUGGAAGAGGGCAGAACCUGUAGGACGUGAAUGCAAGAACCUGCCAAGGAACCAAUGACCAAGAUGAUUGAUGAGUGCAGGACCUGAGAGAAGCACCUUGAAUGACAACCUCGAGCUGUUUCCAGUAUUGGAUUGAAGAGAUGGCCUUUGCUGCAUCUCCUUGAGCAAGGAAAGCCAAGAAACCUUUGCUUUGGAAGGAGAAAAUGGGGAAAGCAGGAAGGAAGAAAAGAAGCCCCCUGACUCCUCCCUGAGCCCCAGACAGCCCAUGAACUGCCUUGCUGGGAAUGGUAGGACGGGGUGGACUCUGGAUUGCUCCCUCUGGAUGUGUGUGGGAUGUAGCCUGGAAAGUGCACAGAGCUGAGCCAAGGGAGUGAAAGGGACCAAGCAAGGGAGGUGAAGAAAGAAGGAAGAAGGGAAGUGAGGCAGCAGGCAAGCAGCAGCAAGUUGCUGUGUAAGCAGGCCAGGCCAAAGCCCUGAUCCAGCCCAGCUCUGCCAAGUGCCCUGGGCUGGGAGCAGCCAAAGGCAAGAGGCUGCAGCCCCGCCGGCCGGGCUGGGGGCUCCUGGUGCUGCCCGUGGGGUGGGGUAAGUCAGAGGGACACGUUUCUCUCCUCCUGCUGUUGGCAUUUGCUCCCUGGGCACUGACUCUGUUUCCCACUGCAGGCUGGUCCUUGCCCUGUGUGCUGGGAAGUGUGGAGAGGAAGGGGCGAAGGGCCAGGUGAGUGUGGGGUCCCCGAGCUGUGGGGUUGGGCUGUGCUGAGAGGGGCAGGUGGGUCCCCGUUGGUGAGCCUCAGCCUUGGUUUGGGGGUUCAGGAGCCCAGGGGGCCGAGCUGGGGGGUGUUUGCAGCUCUGCCAGGGCUGGAGCUGGGCUGGGCCGUGGG